rnacentral:rRNA from 2 species
AAAACUUUCAACAACGGAUCUCUUGGUUCUGGCAUCGAUGAAGAACGCAGCGAAAUGCGAUAAGUAAUGUGAAUUGCAGAAUUCAGUGAAUCAUCGAAUCUUUGAACGCACAUUGCGCCCCUCGGCAUUCCGGGGGGCAUGCCUGUUCGAGCGUCAUUG